UCGAGCGAGACCUUCGGGUCUAGCGGCGGACGGGUUAGUAACGCGUGGGAACGUGCCCUUCUCUGCGGAAUAGCCACUGGAAACGGUGAGUAAUACCGCAUACGCCCUUCGGGGGAAAGAUUUAUCGGAGAAGGAUCGGCCCGCGUUAGAUUAGAUAGUUGGUGGGGUAACGGCCUACCAAGUCUACGAUCUAUAGCUGGUUUUAGAGGAUGAUCAGCAACACUGGGACUGAGACACGGCCCAGACUCCUACGGGAGGCAGCAGUGGGGAAUCUUAGACAAUGGGCGCAAGCCUGAUCUAGCCAUGCCGCGUGUGUGAUGAAGGUCUUAGGAUCGUAAAGCACUUUCGCCAGGGAUGAUAAUGACAGUACCUGGUAAAGAAACCCCGGCUAACUCCGUGCCAGCAGCCGCGGUAAUACGGAGGGGGUUAGCGUUGUUCGGAAUUACUGGGCGUAAAGCGUACGUAGGCGGAUUGGAAAGUUGGGGGUGAAAUCCCGGGGCUCAACCCCGGAACUGCCUCCAAAACUAUCAGUCUAGAGUUCGAGAGAGGUGAGUGGAAUUCCAAGUGUAGAGGUGAAAUUCGUAGAUAUUUGGAGGAACACCAGUGGCGAAGGCGGCUCACUGGCUCGAUACUGACGCUGAGGUACGAAAGUGUGGGGAGCAAACAGGAUUAGAUACCCUGGUAGUCCACACCGUAAACGAUGAAUGCCAGUCGUCGGGCAGUAUACUGUUCGGUGACACACCUAACGGAUUAAGCAUUCCGCCUGGGGAGUAUGUCGCAAGAUUAAAACUCAAAAGGAUUUGACGGGGGCCCGCACAAGCGGUGGAGCAUGUGGUUUAAUUCGAAGCAACGCGCAG
rnacentral:rRNA from 1 species